GAUGAACGCUGGCGGCGUGCCUAAUACAUGCAAGUCGAGCGAACAGAUGAGGAGCUUGCUCCUCUGACGUUAGCGGCGGACGGGUGAGUAACACGUGGAUAACCUACCUAUAAGACUGGGAUAACUUCGGGAAACCGGAGCUAAUACCGGAUAAUAAAUUGAACCGCAUGGUUCAAUAGUGAAAGACGGUUUUGCUGUCACUUAUAGAUGGAUCCGCGCCGCAUUAGCUAGUUGGUAAGGUAACGGCUUACCAAGGCAACGAUGCGUAGCCGACCUGAGAGGGUGAUCGGCCACACUGGAACUGAGACACGGUCCAGACUCCUACGGGAGGCAGCAGUAGGGAAUCUUCCGCAAUGGGCGAAAGCCUGACGGAGCAACGCCGCGUGAGUGAUGAAGGUCUUCGGAUCGUAAAACUCUGUUAUUAGGGAAGAACAAAUGUGUAAGUAACUAUGCACGUCUUGACGGUACCUAAUCAGAAAGCCACGGCUAACUACGUG
rnacentral:rRNA from 1 species